GCUUAACACAUGCAAGUCGAGCGAGAACCGGUCCUUCGGGGCCGGGGACAGCGGCGAACGGGUGAGUAACACGUGGGUAAUCUGCCCUCGGCACCGGGAUAGCCCGGGGAAACCCGGAUUAAUACCGGAUGGCCUUUCGGGUCUUCGGACUCGAAUGAAAAGGUAGCUUCGGCCUCCGGCCGAGGAUGAGCCCGCGGCCGAUUAGCUAGUUGGUGGGGUAAUGGCCCACCAAGGCGACGAUCAGUAGCUGGUCUGAGAGGAUGAUCAGCCUCAUUGGGACUGAGACACGGCCCAAACUCCUACGGGAGGCAGCAGUAGGGAAUAUUGGACAAUGGGCGCAAGCCUGAUCCAGCCAUGCCGCGUGAGUGAUGAAGGCCUUAGGGUUGUAAAGCUCUUUCGGCGGGGAAGAUAAUGACGGUACCCGCAUAAGAAGCCCCGGCUAACUUCGUGCCAGCCGCCGCGGUAAUAC
rnacentral:rRNA from 1 species